rnacentral:rRNA from 1 species
GGCAAACGGGUGCGGAACACGUACGCAACCUUCCCAAAACUGGUGAAUAGCCUUUCGAAAGAGAGAUUAAUACACCGUAACUUAAUGAAGUGGCAUCACUUUAUUAGAAUAGCUCCGGCGGUUUUGGAUGGGCGUGCGGCUGAUUAGGUAGUUGGCGGGGUAACAGCCCACCAAGCCUGCGAUCAGUAACUGGUGUGAGAGCACGACCAGUCACACGGGCACUGAGACACGGGCCCGACUCCUACGGGAGGCAGCAGUAAGGAAUAUUGGUCAAUGGACGCAAGUCUGAACCAGCCAUGCCGCGUGGAGGAUGAAGGUCCUCUGGAUUGUAAACUUCUUUUAUCUGAGAAGAAACCCUUGCAUUCUUGCGAGGUUGACGGUACCAGAUGAAUAAGCACCGGCUAACUCCGUGCCAGCAGCCGCGGUAAUACGGAGGGUGCAAGCGUUAUCCGGAUUCACUGGGUUUAAAGGGUGCGUAGGUGGGCUAGUAAGUCCGUGGUGAGAUCUCCAAGCUUAACUUGGAAACUGCCGUGGAUACUAUUAGUCUUGAAUAUUGUGGAGGUAAGCGGAAUAUGUCAUGUAGCGGUGAAAUGCUUAGAUAUGACAUAGAACACCGAUAGCGAAGGCAGCUUGCUACACAAUCAUUGACACUGAGGCACGAAAGCGUGGGGAUCAAACAGGAUUAGAUACCCUGGUAGUCC